UACGGGGGGGCAAGCGUUGUUCGGAAUUACUGGGCGUAAAGGGCUCGUAGGUGGCCAACUAAGUCAGACGUGAAAUCCCUCGGCUUAACCGGGGAACUGCGUCUGAUACUGGAUGGCUUGAGUUCGGGAGAGGGAUGCGGAAUUCCAGGUGUAGCGGUGAAAUGCGUUGAGAUCCACAGGAACUCCGGUGGCGAAGGCGGCCUGCUGGACCCCACCUGACGCUGAGGCGCGAAAGCCAGGGGAGGCGAACGGG
rnacentral:rRNA from 1 species